rnacentral:rRNA from 1 species
GACGAACGCUGGCGGCGUGCUUAACACAUGCAAGUCGAACGGUGAAGGGACCAGCUUGCUGGUUCUGGAUGAGUGGCGAACGGGUGAGUAACACGUGAGUAACCUGCCUCCUUCUUCUGGAUAACCGCAUGAAAGUGUGGCUAAUACGGGAUAUUCUGCGCCUGCUGCAUGGUGGGUGUGGGAAAGAUAUUGUUUCGGUGGGGGAUGGGCUCGCGGCCUAUCAGCUUGUUGGUGGGGUGAUGGCCUACCAAGGCGGUGACGGGUAGCCGGCCUGAGAGGGUGGACGGUCACACUGGGACUGAGACACGGCCCAGACUCCUACGGGAGGCAGCAGUGGGGAAUAUUGCACAAUGGGCGCAAGCCUGAUGCAGCGACGCCGCGUGAGGGAUGGAGGCCUUCGGGUUGUAAACCUCUUUCGCCAGUGAAGCAGGCCUGUCCCUUUUGUGGGUGGGUUGACGGUAGCUGGAUAAGAAGCGCCGGCUAACUACGUGCCAGCAGCCGCGGUAAUACGUAGGGCGCGAGCGUUGUCCGGAAUUAUUGGGCGUAAAGAGCUCGUAGGCGGCUGGUCGCGUCUGUCGUGAAAUCCUCUGGCUUAACUGGGGGCUUGCGGUGGGUACGGGCCGGCUUGAGUGCGGUAGGGGAGACUGGAACUCCUGGUGUAGCGGUGGAAUGCGCAGAUAUCAGGAAGAACACCGGUGGCGAAGGCGGGUCUCUGGGCCGUUACUGACGCUGAGGAGCGAAAGCGUGGGGAGCGAACAGG